rnacentral:pre_miRNA from 1 species
CGAAGAAGAAGACACAGACAAUAGCGCUGACUGGCGCUAGUCAGCGCUAGUGUCUGUGUUUUCUUCUUCGC